UUUUCCAAUUGCAUGUCUAAAUCCCUUGGUUUCUCAAAAUUUUCCAAAACCGAAACCUACCGAAGGUUCGGGUUCGGUUUUUCAAAAUUUUGUUGAACCGAAACCNAAACCGAAACCUACCGAAGGUUCGGGUUCGGUUUUUCAAAAUUUUGUUGAACCGAAACCAACCGAACGCUCGGGUUCGGUUUUUCAAAAUUUUGUUGAACCGAAACCAACCGAACGCUCGGGUUCGGUUUUUCAAAAUUUUCUGGAACCGAAACCAACCGAACGCUCGGGUUCGGUUUUUCAACUUUUUCCCAACCGAAACCAACCGGACGUUCGGGUUCGGUUUUUCACAUUCUUUUUCAAGUUUUUUUAAGUCUUAUUUUUUUUCUUACUUAUUUUUUUAAUUUUAAUUUAUUUUUUUUUCUUUUUCCUUCUAUAAUAAAUCUCAAAAACUCCAAAAAUAAUUUUUUAUUUUGUUGUGUGUUCGUUCGUUUAUGG
rnacentral:lncRNA from 1 species